rnacentral:rRNA from 1 species
AGAGUUUGAUCCUGGCUCAGGACGAACGCUGGCGGCGUGCCUAACACAUGCAAGUCGAACGGAACUGUUUUGAAAGAUUUCUUCGGAAUGAAUUUGAUUUAGUUUAGUGGCGGACGGGUGAGUAACGCGUGAGUAACCUGCCUUCAAGAGGGGGAUAACAUUCUGAAAAGAAUGCUAAUACCGCAUGACAUAUCGGAAUCACAUGAUUUUGAUAUCAAAGAUUUUAUCGCUUGAAGAUGGACUCGCGUCCGAUUAGUUAGUUGGUGAGGUAACGGCUCACCAAGACCGCGAUCGGUAGCCGGACUGAGAGGUUGAACGGCCACAUUGGGACUGAGACACGGCCCAGACUCCUACGGGAGGCAGCAGUGGGGGAUAUUGCGCAAUGGGGGCAACCCUGACGCAGCAACGCCGCGUGAAGGAUGAAGGUUUUCGGAUUGUAAACUUCUUUUAUUAAGGACGAAAAAUGACGGUACUUAAUGAAUAAGCUCCGGCUAACUACGUGCCAGCAGCCGCGGUAAUACGUAGGGAGCAAGCGUUGUCCGGAUUUACUGGGUGUAAAGGGUGCGUAGGCGGCUUUGCAAGUCAGAUGUGAAAUCUAUGGGCUCAACCCAUAAACUGCAUUUGAAACUGUAGAGCUUGAGUGAAGUAGAGGCAGGCGGAAUUCCCUGUGUAGCGGUGAAAUGCGUAGAUAUUAGGAGGAACACCAGUGGCGAAGGCGGCUUUCUGGACGACAACUGACGCUGAGGCGCGAAAGUGUGGGGAGCAAACAGGAUUAGAUACCCUGGUAGUCCACACCGUAAACGAUGGAUACUAGGUGUAGGAGGUAUCGACCCCUUCUGUGCCGCAGUUAACACAAUAAGUAUCCCACCUGGGGAGUACGACCGCAAGGUUGAAACUCAAAGGAAUUGACGGGGGCCCGCACAAGCAGUGGAGUAUGUGGUUUAAUUCGAAGCAACGCGAAGAACCUUACCUGGGCUUGACAUCCCUGGAAUCGAGUAGAGAUACUUGAGUGCCUUCGGGAAUCAGGUGACAGGUGGUGCAUGGUUGUCGUCAGCUCGUGUCGUGAGAUGUUGGGUUAAGUCCCGCAACGAGCGCAACCCCUAUUGUCAGUUGCCAUCAUUAAGUUGGGCACUCUGGCGAGACUGCCGGUGACAAAUCGGAGGAAGGUGGGGACGACGUCAAAUCAUCAUGCCCCUUAUGCCCAGGGCUACACACGUACUACAAUGGCCGAUAACAAAGUGCAGCGAAACCGUGAGGUGGAGCGAAUCACAAAACUCGGUCUCAGUUCAGAUUGCAGGCUGCAACUCGCCUGCAUGAAGUUGGAAUUGCUAGUAAUCGCGGAUCAGAAUGCCGCGGUGAAUACGUUCCCGGGCCUUGUACACACCGCCCGUCACACCAUGAGAGUCGAUAACACCCGAAGCCUGUGAGCUAACCUAUUAGGAGGCAGCAGUCGAAGGUGGGGUUGAUGAUUGGGGUGAAGUCGUAACAAGGUA